CACACCUAAAAAACUUUCCACGUGAACCGUUUCAACCCAAUAGUUGGGGGUCUUAUUUGGCGGCGGCUGCUGGCUUAAUUGUUGGCGGCUGCUGCUGAGUGAGCCCUAUCAAAAAAAAAGGCGAACGUUUGGGCUUCGGCCUGAUUUAGUAGUCUUUUUUUCUUUUAAACCCAUUCCUUAAUACUGAAUAUACUGUGGGGACGAAAGUCUCUGCUUUUAACUAGAUAGCAACUUUCAGCAGUGGAUGUCUAGGCUCGCACAUCGAUGAAGAACGCUGCGAACUGCGAUACGUAAUGCGAAUUGCAGGAUUCAGUGAGUCAUCGAAAUUUUGAACGCAUAUUGCACUUCCGGSUUAGUCCUGGAAGUAUGCCUGUAUCAGUGUCGUACAUUAAACUGACUUUCUUCCUUCCGUGUAGUCGGUGGAGGAGAUGUCAGAUGUGAAGUGUCUUGCGAUUGGUCUUCGGACCGGCUGCGAGUCCUUUUAAAUGUACUAAACUGAACUUCUCUUUGCUCGAAAAGUGGUGG
rnacentral:rRNA from 1 species